AGUGAACGCUGGCGGUAGGCCUAACACAUGCAAGUCGAACGGCAGCACAGUAAGAGCUUGCUCUUACGGGUGGCGAGUGGCGGACGGGUGAGGAAUACAUCGGAAUCUACUUUUUCGUGGGGGAUAACGUAGGGAAACUUACGCUAAUACCGCAUACGACCUACGGGUGAAAGCAGGGGAUCUUCGGACCUUGCGCGAUUGAAUGAGCCGAUGUCGGAUUAGCUAGUUGGCUGGGUAAAGGCCCACCAAGGCUACGAUCCGUAGCUGGUCUGAGAGGAUGGAACGACACACUGGAACAGAGAAAGGUCCGAGACACUUACGGGAGGACGCGGUGGGGAAUAUUGGGCAAGGGGGGAAUGCGGAAUCCAGCCAUACCGGGGAGGGGAAGAGGGCCUUAGGGUUCUAAAGCCAUUUUGUUGGGAAGGAAAAGCAGCAGGUUAAUCCCCGGUGGUACUGACGGUACCCAAAGAAUAAGCACCGGCUAACUCCGUG
rnacentral:rRNA from 1 species